GCCUUCGUGGUGUAGUGGUCAGCACGCUCGACCGCGAUUCGAGAGGCUCGUGGUUUGAGUCCCGGCGAGGGCA